AAUCUAUUCCUUAGUAUCCUUACUUUGAUAACAAGGUAUAUAUUGUUUUAAAACACUCUGUAAAUAAACCUGGCAAGUAAAUUAAUCUAGCGAGGAAUAUUUGAAUUCAUAUUUCGACUUGUUUUAUCAGCAUCAAUGUUAUUUUCGUAAUUCGAAGUUGGGCCGUAGUUUCAAAAAGAAGGUAAUAUAGGACAGUUCAUGUGGCCUGCUUUGCGAGUUAUACAAAUCCUCUUACCUGUUAUACAGUCCAACCCACCUCGAAAUUAUAGUGUUCUUUGUCCUUAAUCUAAUAGUGAUGUGCGACGCAUGCGCAAUAAAAUUUUGGAGUCAAGCCGAAAGUGCAAUUUGUGCAGAGCAGAGCAUAUGACUGAAACAGAAUUGAAGAAAAUGCAUUGUUGUUAAAUAGAUAUGAAAAAAGUCUACUCAUCUAUUAAAAUAGAAGUAUGUGUUUAUAAGGAAUGGGGUUGUUAAAUAGUAAAGAACCUUGGGCUGGCAGAGUAUCAUAUUACUCUGAGGUCGACACAACUUUAGACGGCAUCAGUCGUACUAGUCGAACUAUACUGAACGAAAGAGAACUGCUGGAAGAUUCGAGAGAGAGCAUAUUACUAGUCCAAUCCUACAUAGUUCCACUGAUCAAUUUCACAGGAACAUGUUGGUUGUUCUAUCACAGAUUCGUCGUAUUUAAAACGAACAGUUGGUGGUGGUCGAUAGAGAAGAAUGCUAAAGAAAUAAUAAUACAAAGGAGCAAGAAUGAAACAGCAGUUAGAGACAAAAUUCUGGGCGAGAAAAGAAGUAAAGGGGCCCAAAUAACACUAGAACUAAAGGAUUCUUCAAAUGUUAAUGUAAGAGCCCUUUUAGAGAUGCUGGAUGUAAAUAACGAGACAUUCAAAAAGUAUGAUGUGCGUAGAAGCAAUUGUCAAGUGUUUGGAAAGCGCACUUUUGAAUACCUCCGGAAAACGCGAGAUGUGAAAGAUAGCGUUUGAAGAUGUAAAAUACAGAAAGCACUCAUAUAUGUCAGAUAUAAGGACUGUGUACCAUACUCAGUUGUAUGUCAGUGGUAAGAUUGUUUAUAGAUAACGACAACUUCAAGCAAACCAAUAAACAAAACAGCUAGACAUAUUAUAUUUUAUACUGUUUUGAGGUUUGCUAAUUUCAGAAAGGAGACUGGGUAUAUUUACAUUAAUGUGUGUUAACUGUGUACAUAUUAGAGAGAAAAUGAUAAAACAUCGCCAAAAUAAGCGCCAACUAGAAGUGGCUAUAGAUUAUGUAACGACUUACUAACAUACGUUACUGAAUAUGCCAUAAAACCUUAAAAACGGAUUUUAUCAAACAAAUUCCUGGUAUUUUCUCAUCAAUUUCAUUUUAGAUUACUGACACAAAGUAAGUGAAUUUGACAUUUAAUAGAAAAGAACUUUCCCUUUAAUCUGAUAAACGGUUACAUUGUUAUACUUCAAGAUAAUAUAACUACUAGUUGGUUGUACAAUAAUUUUGUAACUCACACCCGUUUUAUGUGAUAUUUGCCUUUUCAGUACUUAUCUUCAUUACAAACGCGACUUUGUGCGAGAGGGGUAUUUCUAAAGCUUUUUGAUGGGUAGUUAUAUUUCGAGUAAACUUUUCAAAUGCAAAAAGAAAGCAUAUUGGAAUGAAAAUUUUUAAUUUGUUUAGUUUGAGGUGUUUUCAUUUGAAAGGUGGCACGUAUGUAUAAUUUAUUAAAGGAAAACUUUGGUGAAUAUCAGCCUUAAAGAAAGCUCUUUGGUAAAAAACCAAACCAACUGGAAGGAGGCGGAUCUCUCGUUGACAAGACAAAGUCCAAAGGCUUUUGGCAAAAAAGGUAAACUUGACGAAAGGAAGACAGUCGAUCCACAGGAAAAUGUUUCUUAUGACGUUACACACGUCAUAGAUAAAGAUAAUGUGUUUAUUAGAUAUAAAACAUACUAUAAAACGUUUAGUCAAAUUGUGGUGGACUUUUUUUCUGAUAAAUUGAAAAUAUAUAUUUAUUAUUAUUAUUAUUAUUUUGUCCUUGCCGCACCGAGAUUUGUUGAUUUCUUUCUAUCAUAAUAAUGACUUUACAUAUAAUUGUAUACGACCCGACAACUUCCCUAUUAAACAAAGAAGGUUGAAAAGUGUGUGCUAUUGACGUCAAAAUUAUUACGCUGGAAAAGAAACUAAAAGAAAACAUGCAAAUAUUUGAAGGAUGUCAUCAAGGAUGUAGUCUACUUGGUAACGUGUUAGAAUCGAAAUAAUAUAUCUUAUUUAGUGAUUUGCUCUUGAAUAAAAUCAUUUUUUGCCGUCCAGGUGCGUAUUGUUUUAACACGCAGGCUGCGUUCUCGUGGUAUGAUUCCUUCGUAUCUGAAUCACAAACAAUGAUUUUAUCCAACGACAAAUCACAAAAUGAGCUUUUUAUUAUGCCCCCUCCCCCAAAGGAGGGAUAUAUUGUUUUUGUCGGUCGGUUGGUAUAUAGACCAAUCGGUUUCCGGAUGAUAUUAAACUCAAGACUGCUUGGGCCUAGGAUCAUAACAGUUGAAAGGGUAAAUGGUCAUAACCAGCAGACGACUUCUUUUGAUUUUGAGGUCAACAGAUCAAAGAUUUAGGUCACAAUACCCGUAAGAGUUAAACGGUUUCAAGAUGAUAACCAAAGAACGCUUUGACCUAGAGUUAUAAAUGUUGACAGGGAGAUUGGUCAUGACCAGCAGAUGACCCGUAUUGAUUUUGAGGUCAGUAUGCCAUAGGUGAAUGUCACAGUGACCCGAAACAACGAUAAUACCGAGGUCACCUAUGACUGGUAAAUUACUGAUUUGAGGUCAUUAAUUGUUCAGUGCACAGUGAACAUAUAUUUCUGUUCCUUACGCAGUUACCGAAUGCAUCAAGGGGUGGGGGAGGCAUUUCGUGUUCUGCGAGCUCUUGUUCCUACUGAUCUUGCCAUGGUAUUUUUUAAUUUAGAUGUUCUCACCAUUAGUUAUCUAUACACAAUGGCAGAUUUAUUAAUAUUCCCUGAAAAGGUCUUGGUAAUUCAAAUAUUUUGGGUGAUGAAUUCCAUUAUCUAUUUAGUUGCACACACUUUAAUGACUUUAGAAGAAAAGUUUAAUUUCAGCACCCGAAUUCUAUUAAGUUUCCUACGCAAAUGAAAAAUGAUAGUAAGGAUACUCUGUUGAAGCUUCCAUUUUUUUUACAACAAAAAUUGUUAGCAUGAUUGUAGUAGUGUAGGAAAUAUGUGCUAUAUGUUCAUGUAUUUUCUAAAUGCUAUUAAUGAUUUUUUUUUCAUGGAAGGUUUAAUGAUUAAGAAUAACAGUUAUCUUUUAUAUUCUGCAAUAUAAAUUAUAAUCUUGCACGGUUUCUUCCAUGUUCAUGUAUUUUUAUUUCGUAUUUCCAAGGAAGACAUUGUACUUGAACUAAGAUGAACAUUUAUGAACUUCACUUCAUCCAUUCAUCUUUAUCUUGUGUAAAAAAAUUAUUGUCCAUUUCUUAAAAUUAUUCCGCUAUGUUGUUUCAUGACUGCAGUGUUUAGAAAUACAUCCAUUUUCUUAUUUUAAUGCAGAAUACUUUUAUCAGUUUGCGCUAUGUGCAUUGAUAGGAUGUUAUAAACAUAUUUUAAUCACUAACUGUCACUAAAACUUCAUAUUAUUGUUCAUUUUUGGUUGCCGGCUUAUCCCGCUACCAAAGUUACAACUGUAUUUCUGACAAUCAUAUAGCAUCUAUUAUUUUAUUCCUAAUCACAUUCGAAGGAUGUUAAUUUGCUACACAAAAUAGUCCCAUUCAUGAACAAUGAGGAUGAAUUAUCAAUAUACAAGCAGUCCUUAUUCAGUCUGCAUCCCCUCACAUUGACCAUUUAGAUUAUAUAAGAUCUAUCAAUGAUAAGGUAUUCAAGCCCAUGGUUACAUCACAAACUAGAUCAGGCAGAGUUUAUCUUAGAUAUGAGGCACAUUAAAUCUGUGUUUGUGUCUCAUUCAUGUAUAUUCAUAGAUUAGCAUUUAAACAGAAAAUAAAUCUACUAAAACACGCAACCAUCAGACAUUUCAAGGCUUUGAUUGUAAAAGAAGUCCGCACUAUUUGGUAUGUCAGUCGCUGUUUAAAUUUGGAACUUUCAAACACAGGAAUCCCCCGUUUUGUUGUAUCAAUCACAUCUUACCUAUCGAAAUAUGCCUCAUCAUUUGAUUUGCCACCACAAGAGAUAUGGUUUCUUUGUAUAGUACUGCUAACAUUUUGUUUUAUGUCAUUUUAUUCGUAAUUUUACUUUGUAAAAUUCCGCUUGGCGUAUUUUAGGAAACAUUUUCCUACCAAACUAUGAUUGGCUUAGAAAAUUCCUAAGUACAAUCUGAUUGAUUGAGGCUUCUCUCCUAAAUUCCUAAACGGAUCAAAGCUCAAUAGAGCAACAUGCCUUACUUUACUUAGGACAAUUGUGAUGGCGCCAUUAUCUAUAUUUGUCAACAAGACUAUCAUUCAACCCUAAAACAUUCUUAGUAAGCAAUUUAGGAAUAUUUUCUAAAUUUCGGAUUGCAGGUCAAUGAAUUAGCAUUAUUUGAAUAAAAAUUGUAGUUACAUUUAUAUGAAAGCAAAUUAGUACAAUUGAGAUUUUAUAGCUUUUAGGAAUAUGGUCUACUAUUUACUUAGGCAACGGUCCCAAUUUCAGAGCUGGCGCACUUAAUAAUUUACUUUCAUUAGGAUUUAGAAUUACUUUUUCGUGUGUUAUUGUCAGUAAUAAUGCAUAGUUGCAAUCAAUACAGAGUAUUACAACUGAAAUCGUUGUCGUCUUCUAUUCUUUGCUGCUAUCUGUGUAUUGAAAAAUCCCUAUCAAGUAGUCCUGCAUUUUGCAGCGUAUUUCGUUAAAGCAUCUUAACUCCCAACUGAAGCACGCUACAGUACGUAUUAUCUCAUUUAUCACAUGUACUCACGUGUUAGGUAUAUUACAGCGUACUAUGUAUUGCCAUUUUGUAUCUAUAUUUUUUUUAUUUUCUUGUAUGUAAAAUGCCCCCAUGUGCCUUGAAUUUCAAAUAAACCUUGAAACCUUAAAUCUACAAUAAGGAUUUAAGAAUUUAUUGUAAUCUAUAGAUCAUUUUAUUAUUUACUAGCCUUGUUUAAAGAUAUCAUGUAAAUUGUAAUCCAGAAUAUUCUAUUUUGUUCUGUAACAAUACUGAUAAACAGUGUGUGACAGUUAUUUUUAGAAAAGAUUGCCUUGAUUAUUCAAGAAUGUUUUUAUAGAUAUUUAAUGUUACAUGAAAAUUCUCGAACCUGCCAUGAUACAAUAAAUAGUGAGGUGUUUUAGGAUUAAAACAGAACCAAGUCUGUAGAUAUUUAUGAAACUUUCCUGUUUUUCCUUUAUAACAAAAUAUUACCAGUUUGGGUAUUUGAUAUUUUUGGAGGAUCAUUUGAUGGAUUUAUAUCAAACAUUUCUUGAUUUAAAAAAGAGUUAUAUUUGAAAGGAGGAAUGAUAGGAUUUGGACUAUCUAUACAUAUCAUUGGAUUUAACGGCUCUUAGACAGUUUUGAAAGUACUUAAAUUUGUGAAUAAAAUUUAUUAAUGUUAAUAGUUGAUGGCUUGUCUUUCUGUUACUUUUAUCUACUCUAACCAAAAAUUGUUUACUCUCUGACGUAACAUUAUACGCAAUAAACGUUUUAUUGUUGUUGCUUUU